GUAGUUCCUUCUACAAUUUUAUAUAGCUAGUGUAGUUUCACCAUAAAGUAUUAAUGAUAUAUUUUUGUUUAUGCUAUCGUAAGCUAUCAAUUCUAUAUGCAUUCUACAGUUUAUAUACAUACUACGAAAAAGCACUAAAAACUUUUAAAAUCUAAAUUAUGCUAAGGUAUUAAAUCGUAUAUCUAUACUAGACUGUUCAGCUAUAAUUCUCGUUCAAAGAAAAUGUCUGGUCUGUAAUUGUUUUUCAAAUUUUUGCUGAGAUCAGCCACAAUAAUUGAUCAGUAUAAACAAAAAUGAGAAGUAAUUACUUUAAAAAAUGCGAAAUAUGCCUAAGAAACAAUGUUUCCUGGUUUGUUCACCUUUGGGAAACAUGGCUAGGAAACAAUGUUUCCUGGUUUGUCCACCUUUGGGGAACAUGGCUAGGAAACAAUGUUUCCUGGUUUGUCCACCUUUGAGAAACAUGGCUAGGAAACAAUGUUUCCUGGUUUGUCCACCUUUCGGAAACAUGGCUAGGAAACAAUGUUUCCUGGAUUGGCCACCUUUGGGAAUGUGUCUGUCAAAUGUUCCCGGGCUUGUUCUACCUCUAAAAGUUCAUGAAUUUAUUACAUUCAAAGACUGAUAUCGCUCCUCGUCCCUAUCACGAAAUAUACUUAAUUCUUGGUAACUGUUGUUCUCAUUUCCAACAAAG